rnacentral:rRNA from 1 species
CGGUGGAGCAUGUGGUUUAAUUCGAAGCAACGCGAAGAACCUUACCAGGUCUUGACAUCCUUUGAAUGGUCUAGAGAUAGAUCAGGCCCUUCGGGACAGAAGAGACAGGUGGUGCAUGGUUGUCGUCAGCUCGUGUCGUGAGAUGUUGGGUUAAGUCCCGCAACGAGCGCAACCCUUAUCAUUAGUUGCUAACAUUCAGUUGAGAACUCUAAUGAGACUGCCAGUGAUAAACUGGAGGAAGGUGGGGAUGACGUCAAAUCAUCAUGCCCCUUAUGACCUGGGCUACACACGUGCUACAAUGGCCGGUACAAAGAGUUGCGAAACUGUGAAGUUAAGCUAAUCUCAUAAAGCCGGUCUCAGUUCGGAUUGUAGUCUGCAACUCGACUACAUGAAGUCGGAAUCGCUAGUAAUCGCGAAUCAGCAUGCCGCGGUGAAUACGUUCCCGGGCCUU